rnacentral:rRNA from 1 species
GGGGAAUAUUGGACAAUGGGCGAAAGCCUGAUCCAGCAAUGCCGCGUGAGUGAUGAAGGCCUUAGGGUUGUAAAGCUCUUUUACCCGGGAUGAUAAUGACAGUACCCGCAGAAGAAGCCCCGGCUAACUUCGUGCCAGCAGCCGCGGUAAUACGAAGGGGGCUAGCGUUGCUCGGAAUCACUGGGCGUAAAGAGCUCGUAGGCGGUUUCGUAAGUCGGAUGUGAAAACUCCAGGCUCAACUUGGAGACGCCAUUCGAUACUGCGAUGACUUGAGUCCGGUAGGGGAGUGUGGAAUUCCUGGUGUAGCGGUGAAAUGCGCAGAUAUCAGGAGGAACACCGGCGGCGAAGGCGGCACUCUGGGCCGGCACUGACGCUGAGGAGCGAAAGCGUGGGUAGCAAA